rnacentral:lncRNA from 1 species
GUAAAAAUGCUUACAUAUGAAAAUUAAAACUUAUAGUAGAAAAAAUUGUUUUUUAAACAAAAAAAACACAUACAUUGUCCUUAUGGGUUAAUAUCAAUCUAAUCUUGUCCCAUUAAUCUAACAUUUCAUGAAAAUCCAACAAUGCCCUUAGUUUGUUUUUUUAAAAUAUAAUUAAAACUAACGAAUAUAUAUUAAGAAAAUGUUAAAAAUA